ACGGCUCAGUAACGCGUAGUCAACCUACCCUAUGGACGGGGAUAACCUCGGGAAACUGAGAAUAAUACCCGAUAGAACAUUAUACCUGGAAUGGUUUAUGUUUCAAAUAAUUUAUUGCCGUAGGAUGGGACUGCGGCCUGUCAGUUUGUUGGUGAGGUAAUGGCCCACCAAGACUAUUACAGGUACGGGCUCUGAGAGGAGUAGCCCGGAGAUGGGUACUGAGACACGGACCCAGGCCCUAUGGGGCGCAGCAGGCGAGAAACCUUUGCAAUGUGCGAAAGCACGACAAGGUUAAUCCGAGUGGUUUCUGCUAAAGGAACCUUUUGUCAGUCCUAGAAACACUGAUGAAUAAGGGGUGGGCAAGUUCUGGUGUCAGCCGCCGCGGUAAAACCAGCACCUCAAGUGGUCAAGAUGAUUAUUGGGCCUAAAGCAUCCGUAGCCUGCUUUGUCAGUUUUCGGUUAAAUCCAUACGCUUAACGUAUGGGCUGCCGGGAAUACUGCAAAGCUANGGAGUGGGAGANGUANACNGUACUCGGUAGGA
rnacentral:rRNA from 1 species